UCUAAUAAUGCUGAAUGGAAUUACAAUUACAGAAUGAAGUUGGCUAAAUGAGAAGGGGUAGGCUACAAUGACCAACCAACAGGUAGGCUGUUGUUUAAUAGGAAUGGAGUUGGCUAAAUGAGAAGGAGUAGGCUACAAUGACCAACCAACAGGUAGGCUGUUGUUUAAUAGGAAUGGAGUUGGCUAAAUGAGAAGGAGUAGGCUACAAUGACCAACCAACAGGUAGGCUGUUGUUUAAUAGGAAUGGAGUUGACUAAAUGAGAAGGAGUAGGCUACAAUGACCAACCAACAGGUAGGCUGUUGUUUAAUAGGAAUGGAGUUGGCUAAAUGAGAAGGAGUAGGCUACAAUGACCAACCAACAGGUAGGCUGUUGUUUAAUAGGAAUGGAGUUGGCUAAAUGAGAAGGAGUAGGCUACAAUGAUCAACCAACAGGUAGGCUGUUGUUUAAUAGGAAUGGAGUUGGCUAAAUGAGAAGGAGUAGGCUACAAUGACCAACCAACAGGUAGGCUGUUGUUUAAUAGGAAUGGAGUUGGCUAAAUGAGAAGGAGUAGGCUACAAUGACCAACCAACAGGUAGGCUGUUGUUUAAUAGGAAUGGAGUUGGCUAAAUGAGAAGGAGUAGGCUACAAUGAUCAACCAACAGGUAGGCUGUUGUUUAAUAGGAAUGGAGUUGACUAAAUGAGAAGGAGUAGGCUACAAUGACCAACCAACAGGUAGGCUGUUGUUUAAUAGGAAUGGAGUUGACUAAAUGAGAAGGAGUAGGCUACAAUGACCAACCAACAGGUAGGCUGUUGUUUAAUAGGAAUGGAGUUGACUAAAUGAGAAGGAGUAGGCUACAAUGACCAACCAACAGGUAGGCUGUUGUUUAAUAGGAAUGGAGUUGGCUAAAUGAGAAGGAGUAGGCUACAAUGACCAACCAACAGGUAGGCUGUUGUUUAAUAGGAAUGGAGUUGGCUAAAUGAGAAGGAGUAGGCUACAAUGACCAAACAACA